rnacentral:pre_miRNA from 1 species
GUAAUACUCCCUCCGUCCCAUAUUACUUGUCGCAGGUAUGAAUGUAUCUAGAUGUAUUUAAGUUCUAGAUACAUCCAUUUCUGCGACGAGUAAUUUAAAACGGAGGGAGUAUUUC